UACGUAGGUGGCAAGCGUUAUCCGGAAUUAUUGGGCGUAAAGCGCGCGCAGGCGGUUUCUUAAGUCUGAUGUGAAAGCCCACGGCUCAACCGUGGAGGGUCAUUGGAAACUGGGGAACUUGAGUGCAGAAGAGAAAAGCGGAAUUCCACGUGUAGCGGUGAAAUGCGUAGAGAUGUGGAGGAACACCAGUGGCGAAGGCGGCUUUUUGGUCUAGUAACUGACGCUGAGGCGCGAAAGCGUGGGGAGCAAACGGG
rnacentral:rRNA from 1 species